AGGGGCCCUCACCGGGUUACCGAAUUCAGUCAAACUCCGAAUGCCAGCUACUUCCCCUUGGGAGUCAGACUAUGGGUGAUAAGGUUCAUAGUCGAAAGGGAAACAGCCCAGACCGCCAGCUAAGGUCCCCAAGUAUACGUUAAGUGGAAAAGGAUGUGGCGUUGCCCAGACAACCAGGAUGUUGGCUUAGAAGCAGCCAUCAUUUAAAGAGUGCGUAAUAGCUCACUGGUCGAGUGACACUGCGCCGAAAAUAUACCGGGGCUAAACGUAUCACCGAAGCUGCGGAUCCAGAGGUCAGAUAUCAGAGGCCGGAAGUCGGAAAAAGAGAGUGAAUAGAAGAUGAUAAAAAGUUACCAAGAAUUAAGAGUUUAUAAAAUCUCUUAUCGGCUUGCGUUACAAGUUCAUCAAAUCACCCUAGAAUUUCCAGACUUCGAAAAGUAUGAACUUGGAAGUCAAUUAAGAAGAGCAGCUACUUCCAUACCCGUAAAUAUUGCUGAAGGGUAUGGUAAGAAAAGUACGAUUGCUGAUUUUAAAAGGUUUUUGUUGAUAGCACAGGGGUCUAAAGAUGAGGUAAAGGUUUUAUUAGAAUUAUCUAAGGAUCUUCAAUAUAUCAACAAUGAGACUUUCGAGGAAUUGUUUAACCAGUAUGAUGAUUUAGGAAAGCAACUUUAUUCAAUGAUCCAAAAAUGGGUUUAAAGUAAAUCUGACAUCUGGUUUCUGAUAUCUGACUUCUGUGAUGGUAGGAGAGCGUUCCAAGUGCUGCGAAGUCAGACCGUGAGGACUGGUGGAGCGCUUGGAAGUGAGAAUGCCGGUAUGAGUAGCGAAAAAAGAGUGAGAAUCUCUUUCACCGAAUGCCUAAGGUUUCCUGAGGAAGGCUCGUCCGCUCAGGGUUAGUCGGGACCUAAGCCGAGGCCGAAAGGCGUAGGCGAUGGACAACAGGCAGAUAUUCCUGUACCACCUCAUGACCGUUAUGUAGCGAUGGGGAGACGCAGUAGGAUAAGGAAAGCGCACCGAUGGAUGUGUGCGCCCAAGCAGUAAGAGAGCUGGAUAGGCAAAUCCGUUCAGCAAUCUCAAGCUGUGAUGGGGAGUGAACAUGAGUAGCGAAGUUCCUGAUUUC
rnacentral:rRNA from 1 species